GAUGAACGCUGGCGGCGUGCCUAAUACAUGCAAGUCGAGCGAACAGAUAAGGAGCUUGCUCCUUUGACGUUAGCGGCGGACGGGUGAGUAACACGUGGGUAACCUACCUAUAAGACUGGAAUAACUCCGGGAAACCGGGGCUAAUGCCGGAUAACAUUUAGAACCGCAUGGUUCUAAAGUGAAAGAUGGUUUUGCUAUCACUUACAGAUGGACCCGCGCCGUAUUAGCUAGUUGGUAAGGUAAAGGCUUACCAAGGAAACGAUACGUAGCCGACCUGAGAGGAUGAUCAGCCACACUGGAAGGGAGACACGGUCCAGACUCCUACGGGAGGCAGCAGUAGGGAAUCUUCCGCAAUGGGCGAAAGCCUGACGGAGCAACGCCGCGUGAGGGAUGAAGGACUUCGGAUCGGAAAACUCUGUUAUUAGGGAAGAACAAAUGUGUAAGUAACGGUGCACGUCUUGACGGUACCUAAUCAGAAAGCCACGGCUAACUACGUG
rnacentral:rRNA from 1 species